rnacentral:rRNA from 1 species
GAUCCUGGCUCAGGAUGAACGCUGGCGGCGUGCCUAACACAUGCAAGUCGAGCGGAGUUAUAUGUUGAUCUCGGAUGAUUAUAUGACUUAGCGGCGGAUGGGUGAGUAACACGUGGGUAAUCUGCCCUGCACUGGGGGAUAACAGUUGGAAACGACUGUUAAUACCGCAUAUGCACACGUGGCCGCAUGGCCGCGGGUGGAAAGAUUCAUCGGUGCAGGAUGAGCCCGCGUCGGAUUAACUAGUUGGCAGGGUAACGGCCUACCAAGGUGAUGAUCCGUAGCCGGCCUGAGGGGGCGACUGGCCACAUUGGGACUGAGACACGGCCCAAACUCCUACGGGAGGCAGCAGUGGGGAAUAUUGCACAAUGGGCUCAAAGCCUGAUGCAGCGACGCCGCGUGAAGGAAGAAGUAUUUCGGUAUGUAAACUUCUAUCAGCGGGGAAGAAGAUGACGGUACCCGACUAAGAAGCCCCGGCUAACUACGUGCCAGCCGCCGC